rnacentral:lncRNA from 1 species
CAUUUAGAACACUCACCUUUUAAGAAAUGCAAAGCUUAUUCAUCAAGUUCCUUGGUUACGUUCAUCUCCGUUUCCCAAUCCUAGGGCAACGAGUGAAAUCGUUAAUAAUCUAGGUUCAUUUUCCAACCCAAUUGUAAGCUCAUUAGGUGACUAAGUGAGUGGUUAAAUCUACUCAAUUCACCAUGAAAGUUAAGCCCAAAAUGCAGUAAAAUAUCAUAGGAUAACAAGUUUGACAAGUGCAAGAAAGUUGAGCAAGAGAAAAUUUUCAUUCAAGUUCAAAGUGGUUUUCGCGGGUAAAAUAGUCGGGCCCGCGCAGUCUUGGGAAAAUGGUCAUAUCUCACCGUAGGAAAGUCGAAAUCACGUACCGUUAGUGGCGUUGGAAACUAGACUCAAAGGGAUUUCCAAUGAUACCAAAUUCAGACUCUAGUUCCUCUUCUAUCAAUACUACUCGUCCGGGAAAUUUGGCUGAUUUUUCUGUUCUGAUCAGCUCAAUACCAAGACAAAGUUGCCCUAUUUCUUCUUUCUAACUUCACUUGUUUUGGCUCAAAUUCACCCAAUUCAAACUCCUAGAGUUCAUAUACAGGGGAUCAAGUUAUCUAGCACCAUUGGAGCUUAAAUGUAGCAUGCAUAAUGCUUAAGUGAACCAAAAAAAUCUAGCCAACAAAGGAGAACCAAAACAGUCCAAUAGUUGCCCAAAACAACCACUUUGCUUGCUUCAUUUCCAUCUCAACUCACACAUAAGCUUAACCAAUGUUUAGCCAAGUUUCCUAGGUUUAAUUAAGGUGCAAAUGAGUCAAAAAAAUCAAGGAAAACUCUCCACUUUAUGGUUGAACAGCAAAGAGAAACCAAAACAGUCCACAAGUUCCCCUGCAACACCAACCUUCAUCCUUUCAUUAUAGUUAACUUAAGCAUCAUUCCAAGAGUUGUCCUUAGCUCAAAAAGGGUCCAAAACAUGUUAAUACAUCAAGUAAAACCAUAAACAAAGCUUGGACAAAAUAUCAAACAUAUUGUAUGGAAAACAACCAACCCUACUUCCACUUGUUUAGUUCAAGAAGUUUCACCACAAAUAUCAUCCAUUCAACUCCUAGUUUGCCAUUAAAACUUUAAACACUUGGAAUAACACCAUAAAGCUAAGAUUCAAAGAUCAUUUACCUUUCUUAAGUGAAGCUUGAAUCACCCAAAAAACACCAAAAUAAAAGCUCCAAGUUUGAAACACACACUAGACUUGAAGGUAGUUAACUCAACUAAGCUAGGUUCCUUCACUUUUGAUUUUUGCUCAAGGAUCAAACUAGAGUUUAAAAGCAAGAAAAAUGGAGUUUUCUCUCUUCUCUUGGAAGCUUCAAGUGGCCGGCCAUAUGGACGAGAUAAUGGAGCUAAAUUGGUUUAAAUUUUGCUAAUUCCUUUGGUCAAACAAGAUGAAUGAUUAGGGUUUUGUCACAUGGCUCGAUCUUGCCCAUUUCUUCCUUUAAUCUUUGACUAAUGAAGUUUCUACCCUCCAAAUGUUCCAAUACCUAAUUAACACUCUUAAACCAUUAAAUAAAGUCUUACACAUAAUAAAAGGAAUAUUUGGUCAUAAUGCAUGUGGUGAAAUAAAAUAAUGGCAACUCAAGGAAAUGUUACAAUUCAAGUAAAAGGUAAUGAAAUGCAAUGUAAGGAAAUGUCAUAAGUGAUUUAAUCUUAGGGAAAUGCAAGUGAUUUAGGAGGAUUUAUAUUUUUAAGUGAGGGUUCUCACACUUAACAAGUACUAACUUAUACCAAGAAAAUGAGUUAAAACUUGACUCACUUAUAAAAAUAUCUAGGAAAUUAAGGUAAUAAAGUAAAGUAAAGAAAAUGUGCUCAAAGAAAUAAGAUAAAAUAAAGAUAAUUUUCGAAGUUCUCAUACUCUCUUCCCCUUAACAGAAUUUUGUCCUCGAAAUUCUCUCCUUUGCUCACAAACUCGAUUCUACAGGAUUUUCUUCCACUUUCAAGAGCAUCCCCUCACUCAUGUUGCCACCACAAUCUUACCAAGAGAGAAAAUCUUAACAACUCAAUGGCUAAUUAAUAUCCUAAGAAAGAUCAAUGAAGGUAUCAAAAGGUGAAAAGUGACGCAAACUUCAAACUUGAUAAAAGAAGAGCGAAAGCUUGGUUACUAUUCUUGCUAACUCUUAAACCCAUACACUGUACAUUGACUAAUCACCAAUAACGUAAGGCCCCUUUUAUCUUUACCAUUGUACCACGAGACCCAUAUCACCCUCUCAAACCAAAAUUUAUUCCUUUCGAACCACAAACGAAGAAUUCUCGCUUAACUUCAAGACUAAAUUAUAGUAAGAGAUUCAUGGAUAAGGAUUCAAUACUGCCCAACCACCAAUAUUUAGUAUCACUCAUUAAACAUCAGAUACCAAGUCCAUUAUUUCUAACGGGAAUGCACUUACUACAUAAAGUUUGCAUAACACAUAGUUCAAAAAAUACAACUAUUUCAGCCAAAACAUCACUAAUUGCUGACUUUACCCAUUACAGUAGCUUCACCAUCCCGAAAUUCAUUUGUCCUAGGUAGUUCCUCACUUGAUGUCCAAGUUGGCCGCAUUUAAGACAUGCACCAAUUUUCAAAUAACAUACUCCCGUA